rnacentral:lncRNA from 1 species
AAAGAACCUUUGAAGACCAUUUUACAGAAUUGGUUUGCCAAGGUGGAAAGAGAAGCUCAUCAGUGAUGUGACUUAGCCAAAAGCACUGGUUAUACCUCUAUACCUCGGAGCCAACACUGAAAGCCCCGGCCAUAGUCUUUCUGCCCCAAGGAAAGCCUGGAGUGGGGGUGGGUGAUAUUGUCAAGAGCCAGGCCCCAGCUCCUCAUACACACAGCUCAUUUGCUCUCCCUCCCAACCCCCACCUUCAUACUUCUUCUACACGCAUACCAAAGAAAAUAAGAAUCUCAAGGUUGGAAAAUCCCACUUUGCUUCAAGUGAAGUCACUGGGUUGUCCCCAUGAAAUGUCUCCACAAUGGGUGUGCUAGACCUUUACUCUCUGUGGCACCACCAAGACCCCCUCACCCUGCCAGAGCCCUCUGAAAUGUACUCAGAAUGGAGGGGCUGGAAGCGGGGCCAGUGGUCCCGGUAGUCAGCCUCCCCUUCUGACACAAGAAUUAUCGUGGAACAGCUUGUGUGACCGAUCAACUGGUCUCUCCAUCUUUAAGCGAUUGUCUUGUUGACUCUGUUACUGCAGAGUUUGGGGAGGUCUCAUGGCUUCUCGCAUCCUAUUUCCUGAGCUUCCCUGAAGCCAACUUCUGGCCACUGGUAUGUGAUGCGAGCACAGUGCCUCCUCCUGCUCCUCCAGGAAGCUUCUGCUGAUUGAACGCAGGCCAGAUGGCGGGAUCUGGGGCAACCUUCUUAGAUCACAGGAAGGAAGGGGCACAAGAGGGGAGUAGGUAACAAGAUAAAAGGAGCUCCCUCCCUGAUGACUACAGAGCCAUCGUGGCAGCCCUGGGCCUCCAUUUCAGACUUUCAUCUUGCCUAAGCCACCACCAUCAGGGUCUCAGUCAGUGAUCAUUCUCAUUUACUUGGGUGGCUGGGCGAGGGCGGAAUACUACCUUCCAGCUGUCUGAGAUUAAGCAGAACAGCAGCUAAAGCAGUAACAGCAGGUCUCCUUCAGCAGCUUGCCACAGGGAAGAGGGUCCAGCGUGAACUGAACUCAACUUCCACCUGCGCAGAGGCACGUCCUCGACCUCAGUUGCCACGUGCACAUGCUGGUGCCUUCCAGGUCGGUCUUUCUCCACCAGUCUCCACCUGCAACUUUCUUCCUUUUCGUCCUGUGCUGGCCUAACCCCUGCUCGGCCUCGGCCCUCAGCUGCCGGCUCUAACAAUGCCUCUGUCUUUCCGAGACCCCCGUGACCAGCUCAGGCUCUGCUCCCUGCGUUCCUCUCUCCUCGCUUCCCUCCCCGCCUCCCCGGGGCUUCCCCAUCAGUGUGGAUUCCGACCUCAUAAGGACCAGUCUAACGCUCUCUGCUGGAUGGAAGCGCAAAACGGACCCUCUCACUCUUGCCUUAUCCCCAGCACCAAGGAGGGGCUCAGAGUGGGACUGGUGGCUUCUUAAGAAGAGAAAGAGACCUGAGGAAGCACACUGAACCCCUCACCAUAUGAUGCCCUGUACCACCCCGAGACCGCAGCGUCCCCACCAGCAAGAAGGUACUCAUGACAUGUGACCCCUUGACCUUGGACUUG